AUGCCGCGUGUAUGAAGAAGGCCUUCGGGUUGUAAAGUACUUUCAGCAGUGAGGAAGGUGGUGCAGUUAAUAGCUGUAUCAUUUGACGUUAGCUACAGAAGAAGCACCGGCUAACUCCGUGCCAGCAGCCGCGGUAAUACGGAGGGUGCGAGCGUUAAUCGGAAUUACUGGGCGUAAAGCGCAUGCAGGCGGCCUGUUAAGUCAGAUGUGAAAGCCCGGGGCUUAACCUCGGAAUUGCAUUUGAAACUGGCAGGCUAGAGUCUUGUAGAGGGGGUAGAAUUUCAGGUGUAGCGGUGAAAUGCGUAGAGAUCUGAAGGAAUACCAGUGGCGAAGGCGGCCCCCUGGACAAAGACUGACGCUCAGAUGCGAAAGCGUGGGGAGCAAACAGGAUUAGAUACCCUGGUAG
rnacentral:rRNA from 1 species